rnacentral:rRNA from 1 species
UGGGGAAUUUUGGACAAUGGGCGCAAGCCUGAUCCAGCCAUGCCGCGUGCAGGAUGAAGGCCCUCGGGUUGUAAACUGCUUUUGUACGGAACGAAAAGCCUCUUUCUAAUAAAGAGGGGUGAUGACGGUACCGUAAGAAUAAGCACCGGCUAACUACGUGCCAGCAGCCGCGGUAAUACGUAGGGUGCGAGCGUUAAUCGGAAUUACUGGGCGUAAAGCGUGCGCAGGUGGUUGUUUAAGUCUGAUGUGAAAGCCCUGGGCUCAACCUGGGAAUGGCAUUGGAAACUGGGCAGCUAGAGUGCGGUAGAGGGUAGUGGAAUUCCCGGUGUAGCAGUGAAAUGCGUAGAGAGCGGGAGGAACAUCUGUGGCGAAGGCGACUGCCUGGACCAGCACUGAUACUGAGGCACGAAAGCGUGGGGAGCAAACA